rnacentral:rRNA from 1 species
GAUUCCCUUAGUAGCGGCGAGCGAACAGGGAAAAGCCCAGCACUGAAUCCCGCGGCCAAAACUGGACGCCGGGAAAUGUGGUGUUAGGGAGGGUCCGUUAUCCUGAGAUUGUGCGGUGCGUCCAAGUCCAUCUUGAACGGGGCCACAGCCCAUAGAGGGUGCCAGGCCCGUAGUGACCACUGCCGAUAACGGGAGGAUCUCUCCUCAGAGUCGGGUUGCUUGAGAGUGCAGCCCUAAGUGGGUGGUAAACUCCAUCUAAGGCUAAAUAUGACCACGAGACCGAUAGCGAACAAGUACCGUGAGGGAAAGUUGAAAAGAACUUUGAAGAGAGAGUUCAAUAGUACGUGAAACCGUUCAGGGGUAAACCUGAGAAACCCGAAAGGUCGAAAGAGGAGAUUCAGCGUGUUUCGAUAAUGGCGUUAAAUAUUUGUACGACAAAUAGCGUACGCGUUGUUUGCGUCUUUUGUUUUUCGAACCACAAUCGAACGCGUGCACUUCUCCUCCUGUAGGACGUCGCGAUCUGUUGGGUGUCGAUCUACGGCUUGCAGUGGAGCCCGUUCGUUUACGGUUUACCGUUUCGUUCGGACCUGCAAUGUUCCUGGUCGGCUCGCUCGACAGUAUACAGAUGGUGUAAGGUCGCUACAAAGUUAGCGUUUGAUCUUUGGCAAGCGUGCUUGUUUAGAUGGUCGAUUGGACCUAGUGCCGAUCCCGUCUUCAAGCUACUGUUGGCUAAAGUAUUCUCUGACUGACCUUAAUGAAACACUUAUCUGCGACGCUAUAGCUUUGGGUACUUUCAGGACCCGUCUUGAAACACGGACCAAGGAGUCUAGCAUGUGCGCGAGUCAUUGGGAUUUUUUACUAAACCUAAAGGCGCAAUGAAAGUGAAAGUCAACCUUGCGUUGAUUUAGGGAGGAUGGGCAAACGCUUUUGUUUUUGCCUCGCACUCCCGGGGCGUCUCAUUCUCAUUGCGAGAAGAGGCGCACCAAGAGCGUACACGCUGGGACCCGAAAGAUGGUGAACUAUGCCUGGUCAGGACGAAGUCAGGGGAAACCCUGAUGGAGGUCCGUAGCGAUUCUGACGUGCAAAUCGAUCGUCGGAACUGGGUAUAGGGGCGAAAGACUAAUCGAACCAUCUAGUAGCUGGUUCCCUCCGAAGUUUCCCUCAGGAUAGCUGGCGUUCAUUACGCACGAGUUUCAUCCGGUAAAGCGAAUGAUUAGAGGCAUUGGGGUCGAAACGGCCUCAACCUAUUCUCAAACUUUAAAUGGGUGAGAUCUCCGGCUUGCUCGAACUAUUGAAGCCGUGAGACUCGAAUCAGAGUGCCAAGUGGGCCAUUUUUGGUAAGCAGAACUGGCGCUGUGGGAUGAACCAAACGCUAAGUUAAAGCGCCUAAAUCGACGCUUAUGGGAUACCAUGAAAGGCGUUGGUAACUUAAGACAUCAGGACGGUGGCCAUGGAAGUCGGAAUCCGCCAAGGAGUGUGUAACAACUCACCUGCCGAAGUUACUAGCCCUGAAAAUGGAUGGCGCUGAAGCGUCGUGCUUAUACUUAGCCGUCAGCGGCAUGUGCGGUCAGAUUAUUUAUUUAAUUGGCCAUGAAGCUCUGACGAGUAGGAGGGUCGCGACGGUGAGCGCAGAAGGACUGGCCGUGAGGCCGUCUGGAGCCGCCGUCGGUGCAGAUCUUGGUGGUAGUAGCAAAUACUCCAGCGAGGCCCUGGAGGACUGACGUGGAGAAGGGUUUCGUGUGAACAGCCGUUGCACACGAGUCAGUCGAUCCUAAGCCCUAGGCGAAAGCCGAUGUUGAUGUGGUGUAGAUUUGUCGUUGAUACGCUCGAAUAAUACAUACAUUCAAACAUACAUACGUUAAAUAUUUUUUUCGACGUUUAAACGUAUAAACUGCGCACACACCCGUUGGGCGAAAGGGAAUCCGGUUCCUAUUCCGGAACCCGGCAGCGGAACCGUUUAUGCUUCGGGCCCUCGAAAGAGAGUUCGUCGGGGCAACCCAAAAUGACCCGGAGACGCCGUCGGGAGAUCCAGGAAGAGUUUUCUUUUCUGCAUAAGCGUUCGAGUUCCAUGGAAUCCUCUAGCAGGGAGAUAUGGUUUGGAACGCGAAGAGCACCGCAGUUGCGGCGGUGUCUGGAUCUUCCCCUCGGACCUUGAAAAUUCGGGAGAGGGCCACGUGGAGCUGUCGCGCCGGUUCGUACCCAUAUCCGCAGCAGGUCUCCAAGGU